ACGGCAGUGGUCCAGCGGUAAGACCCGACCCUCCCAAGGUCGUGACCCGGGUUCGAAUCCCGGCUGCCGUA
rnacentral:tRNA from 1 species